UUACCUUUGGGUGGGGAACAACAGCCGGAAACGGCUGCUAAUACCGCAUAAUGCAGCGGCAUCGCAAGAUGACAGUUGUUAAAGCGGGGGAUCGCAAGACCUCGCGCCUAAAGAGAAGCCCGCGGCAGAUUAGCUAGUUGGUCGGGUAAUGGCCUACCAAGGCAACGAUCUGUAACCGGCCUGAGAGGGCGGUCGGUCACACUGACACUGACAUACGGGUCAGACUCCUACGGGAGGCAGCAGUCGGGAAUUUUGGGCAAUGGGCGAAAAGCCUGACCCAGCAACGCCGCGUGAAGGAUGAAAGCUUUUCGGAGUGUAAACUUCACAAGAAUGGGAAGAAUAAGUUUAGGAUAAUACCCUGAACGAUGAC
rnacentral:rRNA from 1 species